rnacentral:rRNA from 1 species
CCUACGGGAGGCAGCAGUGAGGAAUAUUGGUCAAUGGACGAGAGUCUGAACCAGCCAAGUAGCGUGAAGGAUGACUGCCCUAUGGGUUGUAAACUUCUUUUAUAUGGGAAUAAAAUGUUCCACGUGUGGGAUUUUGUAUGUACCAUAUGAAUAAGGAUCGGCUAACUCCGUGCCAGCAGCCGCGGUAAUACGGAGGAUCCGAGAGUUAUCCGGAUUUUUUGGGGUUAAAGGGAGCGUAGGUGGAUUUUUAAGUCAGUUGUGAAAGUUUGCGUCUCAACCGUAAAAUUGCAGUUGAAACUGGCAGUCUUGAGUACGGUAGAGGUGGGCGGAAUUCGUGGUGUAGCGGUGAAAUGCUUAGAUAUCACGAAGAACUCCGAUUGCGAAGGCAGCUCACUGGACUGCAACUGACACUGAGGCUCGAAAGUGUGGGUAUCAAACAGGAUUAGAUACCCGGGUAGUC